GGGAGUCGCCACAAUGCCAGAGCGCAGACAGUCCUGUCGCCCUCCCGGCGAGAGCCCAGUGGCUCCGACACCCGGUGCCACUUCGCCGACCCUUCGCUGUCCCGCGGUCUGUGCCCCAAGCCUGUGCCGCAGCCGCCGCCAGCUAACUGUGCUCGGGAGCCGAGCCGGGCAACAAGGCUUCCUCCAGAGCCGCAGCGCUCCCAGUGACAGUUUUUUUGUAGCUGGUCCCCCCCAAAUCGCCGGUCCCCGCUCUGUUCGCCCCUACAGACACUUGAGCGUUGUCCUCCUUUGAGCGCUUUUC